rnacentral:rRNA from 1 species
GACGAACGCUGGCGGCGUGCUUAACACAUGCAAGUCGAACGGAAAGGCCCUGCUUUUGUGGGGUGCUCGAGUGGCGAACGUGUGAGUAACACGUGAGUAACCUGCCCUUUACUUUGGGAUAACUUCAGGAAACUGGGGCUAAUACCUGAUAGGAGCUCCUGCUGCAUGGUGGGGGUUGGACAGUUUCGGCGGUUGGGGAUGGACUCGCGGCUUAUCAGCUUGUUGGUGGGGUAGUGGCUUACCAAGGCUUUGACGGGUAGCCGGCCUGAGAGGGUGACCGGCCACAUUGGGACUGAGAUACGGCCCAGACUCCUACGGGAGGCAGCAGUGGGGAAUAUUGCACAAUGGGCGGAAGCCUGAUGCAGCAACGCCGCGUGCGGGAUGACGGCCUUCGGGUUGUAAACCGCUUUCGCCUGUGACGAAGCGUGAGUGACGGUAAUGGGUAAAGAAGCACCGGCUAACUACGUG